AGAGUUUGAUCCUGGCUCAGAUUGAACGCUGGCGGCAUGCCUUACACAUGCAAGUCGAACGGUAACAGGUCUUCGGACGCUGACGAGUGGCGAACGGGUGAGUAAUACAUCGGAACGUGCCCGAUCGUGGGGGAUAACGGAGCGAAAGCUUUGCUAAUACCGCAUACGAUCUACGGAUGAAAGCAGGGGACCGCAAGGCCUUGCGCGGACGGAGCGGCCGAUGGCAGAUUAGGUAGUUGGUGGGAUAAAAGCUUACCAAGCCGACGAUCUGUAGCUGGUCUGAGAGGAUGAUCAGCCACACUGGGACUGAGACACGGCCCAGACUCCUACGGGAGGCAGCAGUGGGGAAUUUUGGACAAUGGGCGCAAGCCUGAUCCAGCCAUGCCGCGUGCAGGAUGAAGGCCUUCGGGUUGUAAACUGCUUUUGUACGGAACGAAAAGCUUUCCUCUAAUAAAGGGGAGUCAUGACGGUACCGUAAGAAUAAGCACCGGCUAACUACGUGCCAGCAGCCGCGGUAAUACGUAGGGUGCAAGCGUUAAUCGGAAUUACUGGGCGUAAAGCGUGCGCAGGCGGUUUUGUAAGACAGAGGUGAAAUCCCCGGGCUCAACCUGGGAACUGCCUUUGUGACUGCAAGGCUGGAGUGCGGCAGAGGGGGAUGGAAUUCCGCGUGUAGCAGUGAAAUGCGUAGAUAUGCGGAGGAACACCGAUGGCGAAGGCAAUCCCCUGGGCCUGCACUGACGCUCAUGCACGAAAGCGUGGGGAGCAAACAGGAUUAGAUGCCCUGGUAGUCCACGCCCUAAACGAUGUCAACUGGUUGUUGGGAAUUCACUUUCUCAGUAACGAAGCUAACGCGUGAAGUUGACCGCCUGGGGAGUACGGCCGCAAGGUU
rnacentral:rRNA from 1 species